AGAGUUUGAUCAUGGCUCAGGAUGAACGCUAGCUACAGGCUUAACACAUGCAAGUCGAGGGGCAGCAUGUUGGUUGCUUGCAACCAAUGAUGGCGACCGGCGCACGGGUGAGUAACGCGUAUCCAACCUACCCUUGUCCAUCGGAUAACCCGUCGAAAGGCGGCCUAACACGAUAUGCGGUUCACAGCAGGCAUCUAAGGUGAACGAAAUGUGAAGGAGAAGGAUGGGGAUGCGUCUGAUUAGCUUGGUUGGCGGGGUAACGGCCCACCAAGGCUACGAUCGAGUAGGGGUUCUGAGAGGAAGGUCCCCACGAUUGGAACUGGAGACACGGUCCAAACGUCCUACGGGAGGCA
rnacentral:rRNA from 1 species